UACGUAGGGUGCAAGCGUUAUCCGGAAUUAUUGGGCGUAAAGAGCUCGUAGGCGGUUUGUCGCGUCUGCUGUGAAAACUGGAGGCUCAACCUCCAGCCUGCAGUGGGUACGGGCAGACUAGAGUGCGGUAGGGGAGAUUGGAAUUCCUGGUGUAGCGGUGGAAUGCGCAGAUAUCAGGAGGAACACCGAUGGCGAAGGCAGGUCUCUGGGCAUUAACUGACGCUGAGGAGCGAAAGCGUGGGGAGCGAACAGG
rnacentral:rRNA from 1 species